rnacentral:rRNA from 1 species
GGUUUAAUUUUCGAUGCAACGCGAAAAACCUUACCACUUCUUGACAUGGAGGCUAGAUCCUUCUUAACAGAAGGGCGCAGUUCGGCUGGGCCUCGCACAGGUGCUGCAUGGCUGUCGUCAGCUCGUGUCGUGAGAUGUUGGGUUAAGUCCCGCAACGAGCGCAACCCUCAUCCUUAGUUACCAGCGGGUAAUGCCGGGCACUUUAAGGAAACUGCCAGUGAUAAACUGGAGGAAGGUGGGGAUGAUGUCAAGUCAGCACGGCCCUUAUGGGGUGGGCUACACACGUGCUACAAUGGCGACUACAAUAGGUUGCAACGUCGCAAGGCUGAGCUAAUCCGUAAAAGUCGUCUCAGUUCGGAUUGUCCUCUGUAACUCGAGGGCAUGAAGUCGGAAUCGCUAGUAAUCGUGGAUCAGCCAUGC